rnacentral:rRNA from 1 species
UGAAUUGACGGGGCCGCACAAGCGGAGGAACAUGUGGUUUAAUUCGAUGAUACGCGAGGAACCUUACCUGGGCUUAAAUGGGGAGUGACAGCUGGCGAAAGUUGGUUUUUCUUCGGACACUCUUCAAGGUGCUGCAUGGUUGUCGUCAGCUCGUGCCGUGAGGUGUCGGGUUAAGUCCCAUAACGAGCGCAACCCUUACUGUUAGUUGCCAGCGGGUCAAGCCGGGAACUCUAACGGGACUGCCACCGUAAGGUGAGAGGAAGGUGGGGAUGACGUCAAAUCAGCACGGCCCUUAUGUCCAGGGCUACACACGUGUUACAAUGGUCGGUACAAAGGGCAGCUACACCGCGAGGUGAUGCUAAUCUCUAAAGCCGGUCUCAGUUCGGAUCGAAGUCUGCAACCCGACUUCGUGAAGUUGGAUUCGCUAGUAAUCGCGCAUCAGCCAUGGCGCGGUCGAAUACGUUCCCGGGCCUU